rnacentral:tRNA from 1 species
AACCCGGUGGUGUAAUGGUAACACAUCAGAUUUUGGUUCUGAUUUUCCAGGUUCGAGUCCUGGCCGGGUUA